AAAACAUUGAUUAAUUGUUACUGUAAGAGAAUAAACACUACAGGCCUUCCAUUUUUAUAACACUGCUUUUAUUGUGUUGGUUGGUUAUGUUCUGGUGACGUGUAGAACUUGGGAGUGCAGGCUGCUGCCUGAGAGGUGGUUGGAGACGGAGUGUCUCCAUGCUGCUUUGUUUUGGUCACUUAUGUGCGUGAGGCGAGUGGUGUUACGACUCUUCCUGGGGAGUAUGGCUCGUGUGCAAAAAGGAAGGGACAAUAACGGGAUUUAAAAGUUAAAAUGAUGAUCGGGUUUAUUUACAACUACAAAAAAAACAUAAAUCUUUCCAUCCACAGGUUGGGAAUAAUAAAAUUAAUUCUGCCUGUGGGGAAUUAAAACAAAAGUACAAAUAACUAGGGAUGUCCCACUGGGCAAAGAUUACAGGGUUCUGGACCAAAAUAAGGAUCUCCAAAGGUCCAAACUCUAAACUGGGCGGUUAAACCAAACUCAAGGUGAUAUUUUAAACUAAACCGAAAACCCACAACACUCUAAAUGUAAUAAAAGGGAGAUCUGCACCACAAAAAAGAUGAACUCUAAACCAAAACGUAACGGCUUAUCCAAACGCAAGAAGCUGUUAGCAAAAACGCUAACAGUAGCUUUACCAACGUUAAGUUCAAGUUACCAAGUUUAAAUAAACCAAAAACACCCAGCAGCAAACGGACCAGCGCGGAGGAGAGACUGCUACCACCAGCACAGCUCUCCUAAUGUCUGAAAGAAGCUCCUUUAUGAAGGGAGAAACGCUCCCGGUGAUUUUCUACAUCUGUGGUAGAGACGAAGCAGCAAAUCUGACCCCGGAAGUUGUUCGUUGCCGGGAGACAUUUCACUACAGCCCUAUUAGAUAGACAUUGUUUUUGGACGGUAAAAAGUGCAGGGGACAAAAGGGGGAGGGGGCAUGUCCCCCUGUUCCCCCCUAAAAAACUACAUGCAUAAGCAUCAUGUAACAUUCACAAAGCGUAGUACGCAGCACGUGGCCCCCGUUGUAGUGGAUGGGUGUGUUUCCUCCUGCAGCCACGCGUCUGAACACAAGCGUAGGGACACUAAACUUAUGCUUGGAGUCAGAUUUAUACGCACUACAUUUCUAAAGCACGUCAAGCUCAUCAGUCCUGAACGGGCCAGACAGAAAAUAAAACACAAAAGCAGUUUAAAACAUCUACAAACUUUCAAAAUAAAAGUCACAUGCAGAUUUUUAGUUGUUUAACUAGUUAAAAAAGUGUUUCAUGACCUGUGAACCCUCCAUAGCCGAGGUAAACAGAAAACAAACCACAGACUUGCUGUCCUCCUUCCCCUUUCUUCUUAUUUUGCAUGACCUGUUUAACCCUCUGGUGGCAGGCGUUGCAGAUUUGCAGCGGUUAAAACCUACCUACCUGUCUUCAUGCACCAUCAUUCACCUCAUCAGCCUUCAUGCAGCACACCUGGUCCCCUCAUCAAGCUCAUGCCACACACCUGCCUCACCAGCUCUAUAUUCCUCAGUCAACCACCAGCACUCUGCCAGAUUGUUGAACACUUUUGCCAGUAAAUCUUCCAGCCUUCCUUCCUGCAAGAUUCUCUUGACCUUGUUUCCACGCCUGACCAUCACCAAGAACUCUGCCUGCCACCACAACCCUAGCUUGUCUACGACCACGUCUCCAGCCUGCUCCCUGUACCUGCUUAGUUUCGAUCUGGUUUCGACCCACGCCUGCCGUCGACUCUGCCCUUACCUGAGUUUUCUCCGGUAACGCCUCCUAUUAGCCUCUGGCUAAUAAAGACUGCUUAAAACGUCGUACUGUGUUUGGUGUCAUCAUGGGUCCUCCAAGUUCUGUUCAUGACAGGUGCACAAUUUUCAGGAUAUAGUAGUGAGCCACAGAGGAGGAGAGAUUCAGACGAUAGGAUUUGGAGUGUUAUUUUCUGCAUUUGGACAUCUUGCCUAGGAUUGGAUAACAACAAUGCAACUCCACCACUGACUUGCAACGCUGAUGUUUUAUUUCCACCAACAACACAAGCCUAAAGGAGUUCUGCUGUGUGGUGGAGUUGCUAAUGCUAAUGGUUAGCUUCUACUAGCUGAGACAUUCUCUGCUGUUUCCUGGACGCUAAACCAACAACAGCCUUCCCCAUUGUGAGUCAAGAUGGGUGAGUCCAUGAAUGUUAAGUGACAGUGUGACGUAGAUCUGUCAGGAUUUUUAAAUCCUAGAGUUUCACCGUCUUUUCACCACGUAGGAGACUAUUUUCAUGUUGAGCCUGUAGGAAAAGCCCAGUGGCCUAUUAUAACCAGAAAUAACCAUUAAAAUGCCUUUUCAGUGUUCUUUAAAUCGUUUAUCCCUAAGUGAGGUUUUAUCCCAAUGGACUGGUUGCAUGAAAAAAGGAACCAGUUUUGUAAAUGACAACUAGCUAGCAAUAAAAUAUAGACGGGAAUCAAAACUGGAAACAGACAUCUUAAACUAAUUAAAGUAACCAAAGAACAUAAUGAUUAAAGCUUUCAUACAGAAACCUAAUCAGAAAUAAACCCAAACUCUGUGACAGCUGGCUGUGGUGGAAGACCAGUUACAUUAAAGAGUAACGUCUAAAUUAACUUUUUUUUGCUGAUGAACUGUAUAAAUGAGUGUCUAAUAGUGUUUUAAAUGUGUGCAUUCUUUAUUUUAGCAUUUUGGUGCAUUUUCUUUAAAAAUUAAAAAUUCUGUCUAAAAACCACAGUAAUGCGCCACCUUCAGCUGAAAACAUAGAAUUUGAGUCAUUUUGAAUAAAUUUUAGCCAAUGGCUAAAGAGUAAAGUACUACGUAAACCAGUAGAGUACUACGUAGCAGCUCCGUGCCAAAGUUAUAAAAGCAACGAGCGUCUCGGCCACGCCCUGUGGCGAGUUGGGAGUUGGAUUUGCAAGCGAGUGUAGGAGGUCAGCGGUAGUUCAGCAUUAGCAUAUAGCAUUAGCAUAUCCUAGUCUUUAGCAUAUCUUUUAGUGUUAUAAAUACUUAUUUAGUGUUAGCUUGGCUGUUGUAUAUUAUAGUUUAGUUAGUGUUUGGCUGUUAGUGUAAUUGGGAAAGUAUUUCGGGUUUAGUGUUCCAUAUCGUCUUAGUAUUGGUGAGUAGGUGUAGUGUAGUAUGGUUGCGGUGACUCUGUGGGCAUUUUACCCGCGAUUCUGCACGUCUCCGUUUGAAGAGGGAGGCUGUGCCCACCGUGGCUCUUCCGCGAUUUAGAUGCAGCCCACCGACUCUGCUCCCCCACCACGGCGGGCUCCAGUCUGAGGUGAGUCAGCUAAAUAAACGUUUUAACAUCUUCUAAAGACAAUUCCCUACCUAAAUGCAAAGUCUGAGAGACGUGGUUCACUUCCUUUAGCUAGUCAGUCGGCAAUUCUGCAACAGUGUCUCUAACUAACGCUGCACUUGUUGACAGCAUUACAGCGUGAAAUCCAGCUUGUGACCCGGUUCUGUGAGGAAUUCUGUUCAGGAGGUCGCAUUUCAGGCUCUCCACAUCAUAUGUGACUGACUUUUACGUUAUAACAACGAUCACACACUAGGAAUGUUAUAAAGCGCCUAUAUAGGAGAUUCUUUUGUAUAUUAUCUGACUAUAAACUCCAACAACAAUGUGCUUCUAUUUUUUUUUCAGGCUAAAUCUACCCAAGACACUGGCUGUCAGACUGAUUUAGCUGCAUGAAUGUACUUGUCCAGGCUGAUGUGAAACCUUCCCUGUAGCAAAGCCAGCCAGAAUGGAGUUCACAGCCGCAGUGUGUCUGGUGACCCACAGGGACCAUGAUGAAAAUUCAUCUUCCAGAAGGUCCCAGAGCGUCCAGACCCCCUGAAAAGACCAAGGUGUGAGGUGUCUGCUGUUGAUUCCAGCUUCCACCUCAGUGACAGUGCAAGCUCAGUGAACUGUUCAAGCCUGGCUGAUCACCUGAUAACUCCUGUCAUCUGGUUAUGACAGCAUGAGGAUGUCCUCACACACCUGUAACCUAUCAGCUCAUCUGGCAGAAUAGAGAGAGAAGAGACAACACCACAUCUCCUGUUCCUGGAAAGCCUUCAGCCUUCCUUCGAUGACUGAGAACCUCCAUCAGCUCUGUCUCCUGUCUGCCUACAAUUAUUAUAAUAAAUAUUGUGUUUGACAA